AAUAAAGUAAGCUAAAAAAGCUAGUGGGUUCAUACCCCAAAUAUGAAUUUAAAUUCCUUUAUUA
rnacentral:tRNA from 1 species